rnacentral:rRNA from 1 species
CCUACGGGAGGCAGCAGUAAGGAAUCUUCCACAAUGGACGAAAGUCUGAUGGAGCAACGCCGCGUGCAGGAUGAAGGCUUUCGGGUCGUAAACUGCUUUUAUAUGGGAAGAUUAUGACGGUACCAUAUGAAUAAGGACCGGCUAACUACGUGCCAGCAGCCGCGGUAAUACGUAGGGUCCAAGCGAUAUCCGGAAUUACUGGGCGUAAAGCGUGUGUAGGUGGAUUAAUAAGUGUGAUGCGAAAUCCGGCGGCUCAACCGUUUGGACUGUGUCGCAUACUGUUAGUCUAGAGGACGGCAGAGGUAAGUGGAAUUACGGGUGUAGCAGUGAAAUGCGUAGAUAUCCGUAGGAACACCAAUGGCGAAGGCAGCUUACUGGGCCACACCUGACACUGAGACACGAAAGCGUGGGGAGCGAACAGGAUUAGAUACCCUGGUAGUCCACGCCGUAAACGAUGCAUACUAUUAGUAUGGGGUAUCGACCCCCUGUGCUGAGAAGCUAACGCGAUAAGUAUGCCGCCUGGGGAGUACGAGCGCAAGCUUAAAACUCAAAUGAAUUGACGG